rnacentral:rRNA from 1 species
AACGAACGCUGGCGGCAGGCCUAACACAUGCAAGUCGAGCGAGGACUUCGGUCCUAGCGGCGGACGGGUGAGUAACGCGUGGGAACGUUCCCUUUGCUUCGGAAUAGCCCUGGGAAACUGGGAGUAAUACCGGAUGAGCCCUUUGGGGGAAAGAUGUAUCGGCGAAGGAUCGGCCCGCGUUGGAUUAGGUAGUUGGUGGGGUAAUGGCCUACCAAGCCGGAGAUCCAUAGCUGGUUUGAGAGGAUGAUCAGCCACACUGGGACUGAGACACGGCCCAGACUCCUACGGGAGGCAGCAGUGGGGAAUCUUAGACAAUGGGGGAAACCAUGAUCUAGCCAUGCCGCGUGAGCGAUGAAGGCGUUAGGGUUGUAAAGCUCUUUCAGCUGGGAAGAUAAUGACGGUACCAGCAGAAGAAGCCCCGGCUAACUCCGUG